rnacentral:misc_RNA from 1 species
GAUGAAGAACGUAGCGAAAUGCGAUAAGUAAUGCGAAUUGCAGAAUUCAGUGAGUCAUCGAAUCUUUGAACGCACAUUGCGCCCUGUGGGAUUCCGCAGGGCAUGCCUGUUCGAGCGUCAUUUCAACCCUCAAGCCCCGCUUGGUGUUGGGCCCCGCCCGCCGUGGCCGGCCCUAAAGACAGUGGCGGCGCCGCCUGGCCCUCAGCGUAGUACAGCUCUCGCUCCAGGGUCCGGCGGCCGCCUGCCAGAACCCCCCCAACUCUGUGGUUGACCUCGGAUCAGGUAGGGAUACCCGCUGAACUUAAGCAUAUCAAUAAGCGGAGGA